rnacentral:rRNA from 1 species
GCAAGUCGAGGGGUAACAUUUCAGCUUGCUACAUUUGACGACCGCCGCACGGGUGCGUAACGCGUAUAGAAUCUACCUUUUACUAAGGGAUAGCCUUUAGAAAUGAAGAUUAAUACCUUAUAGUAUUGAGAACUGGCAUCGGUUCUUACUUAAAGAUUUAUUGGUAAAAGAUGACUAUGCGUUCUAUUAGCUAGAUGGAGAGGUAACGGCUCCCCAUGGCGACGAUAGAUAGGGGUCCUGAGAGGGAGAUC